rnacentral:rRNA from 1 species
GACGUAGGGGGCGAGCGUUGUCCGGAUUUAUUGGGCGUAAAGAGCUCGUAGGCGGCUUGUUACGUCGGCUGUGAAAUCCCGCGGCUCAACUGCGGGUCUGCAGCCGAUACGGGCAGGCUAGAGUUCGGUAGGGGAGAAUGGAAUUCCCGGUGUAGCGGUGAAAUGCGCAGAUAUCGGGAGGAACACCGGUGGCGAAGGCGGUUCUCUGGGCCUGACCUGACGCUGAGGAGCGAAAGCGUGGGGAGCGAACAGG